AUGAAAUUUUAUGAUAUUUUAAUAAAAAAUCGUAAUAAAAAAUAAAUUCAUCCAUUUCACGUUUUCUCAAUAUGCAGAAGUCGAGGAAAUCGUUGUCGGAGACAUUAAAGAGAACGUUAACAUCGAUUGCAACAACUCGGGUGUUGAUUUCCUUGAAGCAGAAGCUAUUAGGACGUCAUCCGCGACCACCAGAAAGAAGCAGGGGACAUGAUCGCGAGUGGGGAGUACGGUUUCUACAUCUUCUCGAGCGCCUGUCGGUUCGGUCUUUACGAAACAGACUUCGGACGGGGAAAACCGACAUGGGUCGGAGCUCCGUCUGUUCAACAGAAGAGCAUGCCGCUUCUCCAAAUCCCUGCGUCAUCAAACCCUUUCUCCAAGUCCGAAGCUUCAGAGCAAAUAUGAUGACGUGGGAAAGAGCCGAAAUCAACUAGCCGUUGGAGUUGGAGGUACUAUGAUGACGUGGUAAAUGAAAUCAUCCAGUAAAAUAAUAAAUGAAAAUUAGUAGUGCCUGUAAACAUUUCCUCUCUAUUUAUCUUAAAAAGAGAGUUACAGUCAUAAUCAGAAACGGCAUUGGGUUUCAAAAUUCAAAUUUCGAGAUUGGAGCGGAGCCCAAGAUCGAUCAAGAAUUGCAGUUUUUCCGGCGAAUCGGCUCCAUUAAUCCAGAAGAAUCGCAGAUGCCUCUGGCGUUGCCCACAUGCUUCAAGACCGAGAUUCUCACGUCACCUGUUUCAGGGCAUCAAAGAUUCGCGAAGCGGGACACUGGGUUUGCUGUGCCGACAAGGAUACAGCACAGUGUCCGAACCGACGAUGACCGCGAGAGGCUGAAAACUCCAGGCUCUUUUACUUUCAGGCGAUUCUGACGAAAAGAGGCCGAGACGCUCAAUCAAGACCUUUUUGACGCCAUCGCCCCCCUCGACCGCGGCGCCGCUGCCAUGCCCGAUGACAAGCUCCUUGUUGAUCAGGUUCUCUUUUCCUUUCCUUUUGAUUCACAGUGUGGCCUUGAUAGACUGGAACAAGAACGUGUCAGGGUACACUACGAUGAUUUCCUCAAAUUCGUCUCUAUUGCCAAUGCAAUACUACUUAAAUGUAGAGUGUAUAUGUUUUGCAUAUUAUUUGCCCUCUUUGAAAAGCUCCAGAACCUCGUAGAACACUUGCUUGUUAGAUUUUCAUCACUGUUUUGAUCUUGUAUUGGUGUGUAGCCCCUUCCUCCUACGGUUUGAUGGGGUUGAUUAGCAAACAUGUGGGUAACAUGUGCAGAGGAAGAUGAUAUCUGGAGUUGGGUACUUUUCUUUUUCCUCCUCUUCAAAGUUCAAUUUCUUAUUUUGUUAGGAGACCUGCCUUCUUCUUCCUCAGUUAGCUUCUGGAAUAUGAUGAUCCACAGGCAAACACCCUGUAAGUACCUCUCUCGUGUAUUGGAUUUUUCCCUUUCUGAGAACGUUUCGGUCUGUUUCUUUAAUGAUCAUGAUCAUGCUGUUUUUUUUUAUGCUUCAGAUUAUAAAUAGUUGAGUUGUAACAGAAAGUAGAUGACGAACCAACAAGAAUCUGAUUUAGAAAAUGGCAAAUCUUUGUACGUAUUGAAAAUGUAUAUAUUUUGCAUAUAUUUACCACGUGUUAAAAGCUUCAGAAACGCGUAGAACACUUGCUUGUUAGAUUUUCAUCGCUGCUUUUAUGAUCUUUUAUCGAUUUGUAGCUUCUUCCACCUAAUGUUUUCAUGAGGUUGAGUUUGUUGCAAAGAAAACAAAAGGGGCGAAAGAGGAAAGCAGACAUGUGGGCCACAUCUGCCGAGGGAGACAAUAUCUUAAGUUAUGUACUUCUGUUUUUUCUCUUCAAAAUUCAAUUUCUUAUUUUGUUAGGAUAGACUAUCCGACCUGUCUUCUUCCCCAGUUAGCUCCUAGAAUCUGAUUUUCAACAAGCAAAUAACAUCAGAAUCUAGAAGCAAAUAACCUGUCAGUAGGUGUCUCUUUUGUGUUGUCUUUACCUUUUUUGAGAAAGUUUUAGUCUUUUAUUAUGAUUAUGAUCAUGCUGGCUUUUUAUAUUUCGAAUGACCUGUUGUUGAGUGAUUUGAUGGGAAGAUAGAAGAGGACCCCACAUGAAUUUGAUUUAGAAGUCGACAAAAUUUUGUGUAGAUUAACAGUUGAAAAAUUUUUACAUUUUAUUUGCCCUAUAGCUUCAGGGUAGAGAACUUGCUUGUUAGAUUUUCAUAGCUGCUAUUCUGAUAGUUUCUUCCACUUAAGGUUUUCUUGGGUUGUGUUUGUGGCAAAGAAAACAAAAGGGGCGAAAGCAAACACGUGGGCGGCAACAUCUGACGGGGGAGACAAUAUCUGAAGUUAGUAAACAACAGGUAAGACAGCAAACACCGACAUCCGCAGAAGGAGACGAUAUCUUAAGCUUCAUCCACCAAAUGUUUUCAUGGGGUUGAGAUUGUUGCUAAGAAAACGAUAGGGGCGAAAGACAAAAGCAAACAUGUGGGCAACAUCCGCCGAGGGAGACAACAUCUUAAGUUAGGAAAACAACAGAGGAAAAUAAACAUUAGGGCAACAUCUUCAGAGGAAAACGUUAUCUAAAGUUAAGUAAUUUUAUUUUAUUUUUCUCUUCAAACCUCUCUUGGUAAAAGCAUAUGAUCGAGUACCAUGAGAGGUUUUAUGGUGGGUGUUAGAGCGGAGAGGAGUAUCCGUGAGAUACAUACAAGUAUUGAAGGAUAUGUAUGAAGGUGCAACCGCUGACUAAAGAUAUACAAAAGGAAGUACCGUGGUACAUGAUGUUUGCAGACGACAUCGUGUUAAUAGAUGAGUCUAGAGAAGGAGUAAAUGAACAAUUAGAGUUGUGGAGGAGUACAUUAGAGGCUAAGGGUUUUAGGCUUAGUGGGACGAAGACCGAGUAUAUGCAUUGCAAUUUUAGUGGGGGGCGUUCUAGUAAUGUAGGAGUUAACUUAUAAGGAGUAUUAGUACCUCAAAACACACAUUUUAAAUAUUUUGGCUCAAUCCUUCAAAAGGAUGGAGGUUGUGACGAAGAUGUUAGUCACAGGAUAAAAGUGGGAUGGAUGAAAUGGAGACAAGACAUGGGGUUCCUUUGCGAUCGUAAAGUUCUUAUAUGGUUGAAAGAGAAAUUCUAUCGUAAUGUCAUAAGACCUGCAUUGAUGUAUGGUAAUGAGUGUUGGGCGGCGAAAGGACAACAUGUGUCCAAAAUAUGUGUGGUCGAGAUGAAGAUGUUGCGAUGGAUGUGGAACAUACGAAUAGACCGAAUUCGAAAUGAGAGUAUUAGAGAGAAAGUAGGAGUCAUAACCAUAGAAGAGAAAUUAUGUGAGAGACGUUUAAGGUGGUUUGGACACAUAAAACAUAGACCGCUAGAUGUUCUGGUUAGAAAAUUAGAGAGUAUAAGAAUGAAAGUGAAGAAACGAGGAAGGGGUAGGCCUAGACAUCGAGUCAUUAGAAAUGACUUGGAUAUAUUUCAAAUAUCGGAGAAUAUGACGCAAAACUGGAAUGAAUGGAAAAGAAAAAUUCAUGCAGACGACCCCAAAUAAACUUGGGAUUAAGGCGAUGUUGUUGUUGUUGUUGAUUCUCUUCAAACUUAAUAUUCUUCUUGUGCUAGGAAAGUCGGGCCAACAUAUGUCUUCUUCCUAAGCUAGCUUGUCGAAUAUGAUGUUCAUCAGACAAAUAUGAAAUACCCUUUGUAAGCCAACAGGGGAGACCACAAACAUCAGGGCAACAAUUGCAGAGGCCAACAUAUGUCUUCUCUUCAAACUUGAAUUUGUUAUUGUGUUUGGAGAGCCAGGCCAGCAUAUGUCUUCUUCCCAAGCUAGCUUGUAGAAUAUGAUGUUCAACAGACAAAUACUCCGUAAGUAACUCCCUCUUAUAUUGGAUUUUUCCCUUUUAGAGAAUGUUUUGGUCUCUUUCUUUAAAGAUCAUGAUUAUGCUGCUUUUUUUAUACUUCGAAUGAUUUGCGGUUGAGUUAUAACAGGAUGCAGAUUAGGAACCAAGAAUCUGAUUUAGAAAUUGACAAAUCUUAGUAUAGAUAUAAAAUGUAUAUAUUUUGCAUAUUAUUUGCAAUGUGUUAAAAAAUUGAGAAACGCGUAGAACACUUGCUUGUUACAUUUUCAUCGCUGCUGUUCUGCUAGCUUCUUCAACCUAAGGUUUUCAUGGGGUUGAGUUUGUUGCAAAGAACACAACAGGGGCAAACAUCUACCGAGGGAAACAAUAUCUUAAGCUAGGUACUCUUUUUUUCUCUUCAAAUUUCAAGACAAGCCGAACUAUCUUCUUCCUCAGUUCACUUCAAGAAUCUGAUUUUCAACAAGGAAUUAACAUCAGAUUCUAGAAGCAAAUAACCUGUUAGUAACUCUCUUUUGUGUUACCUUUAUCUUUUCGAGAAAGUUUUAUCCUUUUUUUUAUGAUUAUGAUCAUGCUGCCGUUUUAUACUUCGGAUGAUCUGUUGUUGAGCAGUAAGAGAAAGUAGAAGAGGACCCUACUUGAAUCUGAUUCAGAAGUCAGGCAAAACUUGUUAUAGAUUGAAAAUGUAUAAAUUUUGCCCAAUGUUAAAAGCUUCAAAAAUAUGUAGAGCACUUGAUUAUCAGAUUUUCA